AACGAACGCUGGCGGCAUGCCUAACACGUGCAAGUCGAACGAGACCUUCGGGUCUAGUGGCGCACGGGUGCGUAACGCGUGGGAACCUGCCCUUAGGUUCGGAAUAACUCCCCGAAAGGGGUGCUAAUACCGGAUAAUGUCUUCGGACCAAAGAUUUAUCGCCUUUGGAUGGGCCCGCGUUGGAUUAGCUAGUUGGUAGGGUAAAAGCCUACCAAGGCGACGAUCCAUAGCUGGUCUGAGAGGAUGAUCAGCCACACUGGGACUGAGACACGGCCCAGACUCCUACGGGAGGCAGCAGUGGGGAAUAUUGGACAAUGGGCGAAAGCCUGAUCCAGCAAUGCCGCGUGAGUGAUGAAGGCCUUAGGGUUGCAAAGCUCUUUUACCCGGGAUGAUAAUGACAGUACCGGGAGAAUAAGCUCCGGCUAACUCCGUG
rnacentral:rRNA from 1 species